GAACGCUGGCGGCAUGCCUUACACAUGCAAGUCGAAACGGCAGCACGGGAGCAAUCCUGGUGGCGAGUGGGCGAACGGGUGAGUAAAGUAUCGGAACGUGCCCAGUCGUGGGGGAUAACGUAGCGAAAGUUACGCUAAUACCGCAUACGAUCUACGGAUGAAAGCGGGGGACUCGCAAGAGCCUCGCGCGAUUGGAGCGGCCGAUAUCAGAUUAGGGUAGUUGGUGGGGUAAAGGCUCACCAAGCCAACGAUCUGUAGCUGGUCUGAGAGGACGACCAGCCACACUGGAACUGAGACACGGUCCAGACUCCUACGGGAGGCAGCAGUGGGGAAUUUUGGACAAUGGACGCAAGUCUGAUCCAGCCAUUCCGCGUGCAGGAUGAAGGCCCUCGGGUUGUAAACUGCUUUUGUACGGAACGAAAAGGUUUCUAUUAAUACUAGGAGCUCAUGACGGUACCGUAAGAAUAAGCACCGGCUAACUACGUG
rnacentral:rRNA from 1 species